rnacentral:rRNA from 1 species
GGCUCUGGACGAACGCUGGCGGCGUGCUUAACACAUGCAAGUCGAACGAUGAACCACUUCGGUGGGGAUUAGUGGCGAACGGGUGAGUAACACGUGGGCAAUCUGCCCUUCACUCUGGGACAAGCCCUGGAAACGGGGUCUAAUACCGGAUAACACUCCCGCCCGCAUGGGCGGGGGUUGAAAGCUCCGGCGGUGAAGGAUGAGCCCGCGGCCUAUCAGCUUGUUGGUGAGGUAGUGGCUCACCAAGGCGACGACGGGUAGCCGGCCUGAGAGGGCGACCGGCCACACUGGGACUGAGACACGGCCCAGACUCCUACGGGAGGCAGCAGUGGGGAAUAUUGCACAAUGGGCGCAAGCCUGAUGCAGCGACGCCGCGUGAGGGAUGACGGCCUUCGGGUUGUAAACCUCUUUCAGCAGGGAAGAAGCGCAAGUGACGGUACCUGCAGAAGAAGCGCCGGCUAACUACGUGCCAGCAGCCGCGGUAAUACGUAGGGCGCAAGCGUUGUCCGGAAUUAUUGGGCGUAAAGAGCUCGUAGGCGGCUUGUCACGUCGGGUGUGAAAGCCCGGGGCUUAACCCCGGGUCUGCAUUCGAUACGGGCUAGCUAGAGUGUGGUAGGGGAGAUCGGAAUUCCUGGUGUAGCGGUGAAAUGCGCAGAUAUCAGGAGGAACACCGGUGGCGAAGGCGGAUCUCUGGGCCAUUACUGACGCUGAGGAGCGAAA